AAUUUUUAGUCCCCUGAAUCUGAAGAAUCUGUAAUGUGUAUAGUGUUCUCUUUCAUUCUGUAGUUGAGAGUCUCUGUAUGCAGUGUUUCUCUCGCGUGAAGUUUCAGGUAAUUACUUUCCAGAAAUUUUUAAAAUUGACCUAGUUUUCGGCGUCUCUGCUGAGAGAAAACAUUGUGAAAAAGGUUAGAAAAAGGUAGCUUUUUUACGUGGGUUUUCUUUUCCAAUGCAGCAGAACUCAUUUGCUUUGGAUGUAAGCAUAUUCCACCUUCAACUGGAUCCAGAUUUCAAGGAUAGAGCUUGCUAGAAAAUUAAUAUAAAAAAGGUUUCAUUAAAAGGAAGCAAUGGAGGGGUUGGAAAGGUGAAGGGACAGGACCAUGAAAAGAUGGUUCUUUUCUGGGGUGGAAUAUGAUGAAGAGAGAUGGGUCUGGUUGCUUUUUUGAGUGCCUGGAGAGUUUUAAAAAAUGGAAGGUGUGUUGGGCUUCCAGAGGUAGAAACUACUAUAAUAUAGGUAUAUUCAUGUGGAGUAUGAUGAUGGGUUUUUUC